rnacentral:rRNA from 1 species
AACGAACGCUGGCGGCAGGCUUAACACAUGCAAGUCGAGCGGGCCCUUCGGAGCAGUGGCGGACGGGUGAGUAACGCGUGGGAAUGUGCCCUUUGGUCCGGAACAACACAGGGAAACUUGUGCUAAUACCGUAUGUGCCCUUCGGGGGAAAGAUUUAUCGCCAUUGGAGCAGCCCGCGUUGGAUUAGGUAGUUGGUGAGGUAAAGGCUCACCAAGCCUACGAUCCAUAGCUGGUCUGAGAGGAUGACCAGCCACACUGGGACUGAGACACGGCCCAGACUCCUACGGGAGGCAGCAGUAGGGAAUCUUGCGCAAUGGGCGAAAGCCUGACGCAGCCAUGCCGCGUGUAUGAUGAAGGUCUUAGGAUUGUAAAAUACUUUCACCGGGGAAGAUAAUGACGGUACCCGGAGAAGAAGCCCCGGCUAACUUCGUGCCAGCAGCCGCCGUAAAAC